UACGAGGGGGGCAAAUGUUGUUCGGAAUCACUGGGCGUAAAGGGAGCGUAGGCGGGCUUUUAAGUUAGGUGUUUAAUCCCGGGGCCCAACCCCGGACAGGCACCUAAAACUGGGAGUCUUGAAUAGUGGAGAGGACGGCGGAAUUGGGGGUGUAGCGGUGGAAUGCGUAGAGAUCCCCAAGAACACCAGUUGCGAAGGCGGCCGUCUGGACACAUAUUGACGCUGAGGCUCGAAAGCAUGGGGAGCAAACAGG
rnacentral:rRNA from 1 species